rnacentral:rRNA from 1 species
AAUAGAUACCCCGGUAGUCCACGCCGUAAACGAUGAGUGCUAGGUGUUAGGGGUUUCGAUACCCUUGGUGCCGAAGUUAACACAGUAAGCACUCCGCCUGGGGAGUACGGUCGCAAGACUGAAACUCAAAGGAAUUGACGGGGACCCGCACAAGCAGUGGAGUAUGUGGUUUAAUUCGAAGCAACGCGAAGAACCUUACCAGGUCUUGACAUCCAACUAACGAGGCAGAGAUGCGUUAGGUGCCCUUCGGGGAAAGUUGAGACAGGUGGUGCAUGGUUGUCGUCAGCUCGUGUCGUGAGAUGUUGGGUUAAGUCCCGCAACGAGCGCAACCCUUGACUUUAGUUGCCAGCAGGUAAGGCUGGGCACUCUAGAGUGACUGCCGGUGACAAACCGGAGGAAGGUGGGGAUGACGUCAAAUCAUCAUGCCCCUUAUGACCUGGGCUACACACGUACUACAAUGGCCGGUACAACGGGAAGCGAAGCCGCGAGGUGGAGCCAAUCCCAGCAAAGCCGGUCUCAGUUCGGAUUGCAGG